rnacentral:rRNA from 1 species
UGGGGAAUAUUGGACAAUGGGCGGAAGCCUGAUCCAGCAAUUCCGCGUGGGUGAAGAAGGUCUUCGGAUUGUAAAGCCCUUUCGGCGGGGACAUGAUGACGGUACCCGCAGAAGAAGCCCCGGCUAACUUCGUGCCAGCAGCCGCGGUAAUACGAAGGGGGCUAGCGUUGCUCGGAAUUACUGGGCGUAAAGGGCGCGUAAGCGGCGGUGUUAGUCAGGCGUGAAAUUCCUGGGCUUAACCUGGGGACUGCGCUUGAUACGGCAUUGCUUGAGGGUGGAAGAGGCUCGCGGAAUUCCCAGUGUAGAGGUGAAAUUCGUAGAUAUUGGGAAGAACACCGGUGGCGAAGGCGGCGAGCUGGUCCAUUACUGACGCUGAGGCGCGACAGCGUGGGGAGCAAACAGGAUUAGAUACCCUGGUAGUCCACGCCGUAAACGAUGUGCGCUGGUGUUGGGUGGCCUAGCCACUCAGUGUCGUAGCAACGCGGUAAGCGCACCGCCUGGGGAGUACGGCCGCAAGGUUGAAACUCAAAUGAAUUGACGGGGUCAUAGCU